ensembl:lncRNA
ACCCAAAGUUGAGGAGAUGGAGCUGAGACACUGCACCUGAGAAGCAUCACCCACACCUGGACCUGAUUAGGAUUAGGAGAGCCUGGUCUUUGAGGCGAUACUGUAAAGGGAGGAGGCUUUUGAGGGACCUAGGAAGUGCUGGUGCAUUCUGUGCGGACAACUCAUAUAAGAGAAACCAGACAGCCUACCCUGGAACACUCCAGCCACACCUAAUGCUCUAAAAGCAGUCGUUUCCCUUUGCCUGAUAAACAUUUCUUAAAAAUUAAUCCUUUCCUGGGUUCUAAGAGCACUCUGCAGCUGCUGGACAGUGAGUGAAGUGACACUGGGAUCAGGUCUCAGAUGACUGCUACUGGAAGCAUUCACACCAGCUCAUAGGUGUGUGGAGAGCAGAUACUCGUCUUUUUAGUUCAUUAGACCCAAGUAACCACACCGGAGAAGCCUCAUUCACCCGACAACCUGACUUAAAUCACAAAAUCCUGGAUUUUAAUAUGACACUGUAGUGGGAUGGGAUUGAGGACUAGAAUAGACUUUUCUCCAAAGAAGACAUGGAAAUGGCCAACAAGCAUAUGAAAACAUGCUCAACAUCACUGAUCAUUUGGGAAAUGCAAAUCAAAAGCUCAAAGAUAUCACCUGACACCUAUUAGGAUGACUAUUAUUAAAAAACUAAAAGAUAACAAGUGUUGGUGAGGAUGUGGAGAAAGAGAACUCUGAUACAUUGUUGAUGGGAAUGUAAACUGGUGCGGCUCCUAUGGAAAACAGCAUGGAGGUUACUCAAUAAAUUAAAAGUAGAACUACCAUAUGGUCCAGAAUCCCACUUCUGGGUAUCUAUCCAAAUGAAAUGAAAUCACUAUCUCCUAGAGUUAAUUUGCACCCCCGCAUUCAUUGCAGCAUUAUUUACAAUAGCCAAGGUAAGGAAACAGCCUAAGCGUCCACCGAUAGGUAAAUGGACAAAGAAAAUGUAGUAUAUACAUACAGUAGCAUAUUAUUUAGCCUUAAAAAAGAAGUAAAUCCUGUCAUUUGUGACAACAUGGAUGUACCUGGAGGACAUUACGCUGAGUGAAAUAAGCCAGACACAGAAAGACAAAUGCCAUAUGAUCUUACUUAUAUGUGGAAUCUAAAAUAGUCAAACUCAUAGAAGCAGAGAGUAUAAUGGUAGUUGUCAGGGGCUGGGGCCGGGGGAUAAUGAGGAGGUGCUAGUCAAAGGAUACAAAGUUUUAGUUAUGCAACAUAGAUAAGUUCUG